UACGUAGGGUGCGAGCGUUGUCCGGAAUUACUGGGCGUAAAGAGCUCGUAGGUGGUUUGUCGCGUUGUUCGUGAAAACUCACAGCUUAACUGUGGGCGUGCGGGCGAUACGGGCAGACUGGAGUACUGCAGGGGGAGACUGGAAUUCCUGGUGUAGCGGUGGAAUGCGCAGAUAUCAGGAGGAACACCGGUGGCGAAGGCGGGGUCUCUGGGGCAGUAAACU
rnacentral:rRNA from 1 species